rnacentral:rRNA from 1 species
UACGGAGGGUGCAAGCGUUAUCCGGAAUCACUGGGCGUAAAGGGCGCGUAGGCUGUCUGUUAAGUCCGAUGUUAAAGACUGGGGCUCAACCCCAGCAUUGCGUUGGAUACUGGCAGACUUGACGGUUGGAGAGGCGAGUGGAAUUACCAGUGUAGCGGUGAAAUGCGUAGAUACUGGUAGGAACACCCAUUGCGAAGGCAGCUCGCUGGACAACACGUGACGCUGAGGCGCGAAAGUGUGGGGAGCAAACCGG